rnacentral:rRNA from 1 species
GAUGAACGCUGGCGGCGUGCCUAAUACAUGCAAGUCGAGCGAACAGACGAGGAGCUUGCUCCUCUGACGUUAGCGGCGGACGGGUGAGUAACACGUGGAUAACCUACCUAUAAGACUGGGAUAACUUCGGGAAACCGGAGCUAAUACCGGAUAAUAUAUUGAACCGCAUGGUUCAAUAGUGAAAGACGGUUUUGCUGUCACUUAUAGAUGGAUCCGCGCCGCAUUAGCUAGUUGGUAAGGUAACGGCUUACCAAGGCAACGAUGCGUAGCCGAACUGAGAGGGUGAUCGGCCACACUGGAACUGAGACACGGUCCAGAGUCCUACGGGAGGCAGCCGUAGGGAAUCUUCCGCAAUGGGCGAAAGACUGACGGAGCAACGCCGCGUGAGUGAUGAAGGUCUUCGGAUCGUAAAACUCUGUUAUUAGGGAAGAACAAAUGUGUAAGUAACUAUGCACGUCUUGACGGUACCUAAUCAGAAAGCCACGGCUAACUACGUG